AAUUAACGUAAUGGCGGUCGUUUUUGUCAUCCAAGAUGGCAGGAGACGAACAAUUACCAAUGCCAAGGCUUUUAAGGGAGAGAUUGUUCUCGAAAACCUUAGAGAUGAGAACAUUGCUUCGAUAUAUCGUCUAAGUAAGGGCGGAAUAGAGCGAUUGUUGGUUUUGAUCGGGGAAGACAUAGCACCAACUUGCCGGCGAGCUCAUCCCUUUCAUUCCGUCGCUUAGAUUUUGGCAUAUUGCAUAUUGCCAAGGGAGAUGUUUACUGAGGAUUCCAUGCCAUUAAUAUGCAGGCUGUUGCUGAUGCCAGCAUGAGCAAUAUCUGAGCACCAAUGAUGAGGGUCAUCUGCUGGGAGAUAGUGGGUAUCCGUUAAGGACUAACCUGAUGACCCCUUAACCUCAUCCCUCCCAUGCUGCGGAACAGGCCUACAAUGACCAUCUAUGUAGCGGAUAUCUGCAUGCCACUGGUGGAUGUUGGCCUUUCAAGUCCAAUAAGUGCUGUGAAAUAUCAACUGUGUACAUGCCCCUGCAUAACCUGUGUCUGGAUUCAAACGUUCCACUGAUAGAGGAAUUGGUUGGAAAUGAGAUGGAACCAGAAGUUAUGAACAACACACCAGUACAUCGAGCAGCAUGUGAUAAGAGGCAGCAGCUGAUCAAACUGUUUCAUAAAAUGUGUUAAAAAUUUAUAGUUAUAAAUGUUAUAAAGUGAUAGAUGGCUCGAGUCUUCUCUGAAUAGGCAGAGCUACACUACUCAGCCAAAUGGCGUAAAGUUGUGUCAUAGCUGAUUUGGAAGGAUUGGUAUUCCUGGUCGUCUAGACACAAUAGUUACAACAGCUGAUGUUUGCAUGUUUUAUAAUUUUGUAUGCAUAAUUUGUCUAAUAUUUACUUCAAGGUUAUAGGUUUGUGAAAGAAAAAAAUGUCAAUGUUCUGAGGACCAAUAAAAAAAGUUAUGUGUUAGGUAUUACCAAGUGCUUGAUUUAAUAUUUAUUUUAAAGGGAACUUUUCCUAAAUUUUGGCAGAUAUUCAAGUUUUUCAUUAAACGCUUUUAUAUUGAUACAUGUAAACACUGGAUCUAAAAAGCUCCAGUAAAAAAAGAAUACAAUUAAAGAAAGAUAAAAAGUAACUCCUACAGGGCUCAAACCACUGACCCCUGAAGUAAAAGCCUCACACUAAGACCACUUGUCCGUCCAUGUUGAUACAAUGAGUGAUGUAUUUUACACUUUAUAUAAGCAAUCCUCAUCUUGCAUAUAAUGGAUAUUUUAGAGCAUGGUAAAUGUUCAGUAUUACUGUUUCCUCACAAAUAUCAUAACUACAACAAAUGUUUGCGAAUCUUAAACUUAUUUUUUUUAAUUUAGUAAAUUUACCAAAACUGGAAAAGGUCCCUUGAAUAUUGAACAGUUAUCUGAGCUCCAGAAAAGAUCAUAUACUCAAGGUACUUUUCCCCAUUAACAAUUAUUCAAGUGAUAUUUUACCCACUGACUUUCGCUCUAAAAGGUGUUCUCUGUAAUGAACAUUCUCAAAGCCACAUUAAAACAAGGGCUGUUAGUAAAACAUGCAUGCCCCCAUUUGGGCUGUCAGUUGUAGUGGCAGUCAUUGUGUGAAUACGUUUUUUGUCACUGUGAACUUGACCUUUGACUUAGUGACUUGAAAAUCAAUAGGAGUCAUCUGCCAGACAUGAUCAAUGUACCUACGAAGUUUCAUAAUCCAAGCUGUUGGCAUUCUUGAGUUACCAUCCGGAAACCAUUUUACUAUUUUGAGUCACCGUGACCUCGACAUUUGACCUAGUGACCUGAAAAUCAAUAGGGGUCAUCUGCAAGUCAUGAUCAAUGUACUUAUGAAGUUUCAUGAUCCUAGGCGUAAGCAUUCUUAAUUCAUCAUCUGGAAAUCAUUUUACUGUUUCAACUCACUGUGACCUUGACCUUUGACUUAGUGACCUGACAAUCAAUAGGGAUCAUCUGCCAGUCAUGAUUAAUCUACCUAUGAAGUUUCAUGAUCCUAUGUCCUAAGAUUUCUUGAGUUAUCUAUCAUCCGGAAACCAUCUGGUGGACAGACCGACCAAGCAAAACAAUAUACCCCCUCUUCUUUGAAGGGGGGCAUAAAAAGUGGGCUUGUAAAUGUAACGGUACUUUAUAAUAAUAAGUGUGCUGUCUAUAAAUACGGAUAUUAUUGUCAUAAAAAAAUAGAAGUUUUCCAAUAUAUUAGAUUGUUUCCGAAUGUAUUUACUAAACUUUACCCCUUUAUGAGUCUCUGUUCAAUUAUUUAGUCAUCUACCGUUAAAAUGUUGUUUACCUGUGCAUUUUUUUUGUAUUUUUAUUGAAAUGUUUAUGAUAAUAAUGUUUAUAGUAUUUGAUAACAGUUGCUAUUACACUAGUU